rnacentral:misc_RNA from 1 species
GAUGAAGAACGCAGCGAAAUGCGAUACUUGGUGUGAAUUGCAGAAUCCCGUGAACCAUCGAGUCUUUGAACGCAAGUUGCGCCUCAAGCCAUUAGGUUGAGGGCACGUCUGCCUGGGCGUCACAUAUCGUUGCCUGAUGCCAGUUUCCUCGUGAUGGGUGACUGUGCAGGGCGAAUGAUGGCUUCCCGUGAGCAUUGUUGCCUCAUGGUUGGUUGAAAAUUGAGUCCUUGGUAGGGAGCGCCGUGAUAGAUGGUGGUUGAGUGACGAACGAGACCCAAUCAUGUGAGACCCCUACCGAAUUUGGCCUUCGUGACCCACAUGCGUCUUUGGAACGCUCAUGACGAGACCUCAGGUCAGGCGGGGCUACCCGCUGAGUUUAAGCAUAUCAAUAAGCGGAGGA